UACGUAGGGAGCGAGCGUUGUCCGGAAUUACUGGGCGUAAAGGGUGCGUAGGCGGCUUGGCAAGUCAGAUGUGAAAUCCCCGGGCUUAACUCGGGGGGUGCAUUUGAAACUACCAGGCUUGAGUGCAGGAGAGGAAAGCGGAAUUCCUAGUGUAGCGGUGAAAUGCGUAGAUAUUAGGAAGAACACCAGUGGCGAAGGCGGCUUUCUGGACUGUAACUGACGCUGAGGCACGAAAGCGUGGGGAGCAAGCAGGAUUAGAUACCCUGGUAGUCCACGCUGUAAACGAUGGAGACUAGGUGUGGGGGAGAUACAACCUCUGUGCCGGAGCUAACGCAAUAAGUAUCCCGCCUGGGGAGUACGGUCGCAAGACUGAA
rnacentral:rRNA from 1 species